rnacentral:misc_RNA from 1 species
AUUCUCUCUCCCCAAGCGGUUGCGAUUGCGCUGCUUGGCGGAUAGGUUGGAUGGGUGCCUGCCCGUGUCUUUGUACACCGGCUCGCCCGAAAUUCAUUAGCGCCUUUGGACACACUCUGAAAACCGCCCCCGAAGGGAGGGCGGCAGAGCGGAUGGAGGAAUUCCACCCGUCGACUAUACCAAACCUUGCCCAGGCAAGCGCAUGGCAUGAUACGUCAUUUGCUGUGUGCGCGUGCUGGACCAAGGGGUUGAUGCGGUGCCUCUAGAGCUUUGUGGGUGUGUUGUGUGCUACGAACUAUGCGUGGAGGCACUUGUGCCUUGUGAACGCGUUCCCUUUUUCAU